rnacentral:lncRNA from 1 species
AAGACAGAGUCUUGCUCUGUCACCCAGGCUAAAGUACAGUGUCACAAUCAUGGCUCACUAUAGCCUUGAACUCCUGGGCUCAAGCAAUCCUCCUACCUCAACUUCCCAAAUACUUCUGGGAAUACAGGCAUACGCUGCCAUGCCAUGCUAAUUUUUUUAUUAUUUAUAGAGACAGGGUGUCCCAAUGUUGCCCAGGCUGGUCUUUAACUACAAGGUUCAUGUAAUCCUCCCACCCCGGCCUCUCAAAGUCCUAGGAUUACAGGCAUGAGCCACUGCACCCAGCUGAAUAUUAGAAUAUUUUAAAGCCGAAUUCACUAUAUUACACGAGUUAUAUAUAAGACUGGGUUAUAUAUUAAUAUAAUGAGUACAACAGCCCGAGCAUCACAAAGCAGAUAAUGGAAGGGUAGGUUUAGAGAUGAGAUAAAAGAAAUAGCUACAUAAUUGUGAGGAGUUGUGUUGCCCAUCUCAAAUUUACAAAUUUUCAGUCUACUUAUGAAUGAAUGCACAAUGAAAAGAUAUUUGUAAGUCAGAUGAUACAAAUUUAAAAGUUAUUGAAUAUUUGUAGUAAGAAAAUCUAUCAGGCUGGGCGCAGUGGCUCACGCCUGUAAUCCCAGCACUUUGGGAGACUGAGGCGGGUAGAUCACCUGAGCUCGGGAGUUUCAGACUAGCCUGACCAACAUGGAGAAACCCCGUCUGUACUAAAAAUACAAAAUUAGCCGGGUGUGCUGGCACUUGCCUGUAAUCCCAGCUACUCGGGAGGCUGAGGCAAGAGAAUCACCUACCACCGGGAAGCAGAGGUUUCGGUGAGCCAAGAUCGUGCCACUGCACUCCAGUCUGGGCAGCAAGAGCAAAACUCCGUCUCAGAAAAAAAGAAAAUCUAUUAAUGAAGAUAUUAAGUCAUACACACAUAUUGGAACUGAAUAUAGUAAAAUAAAUACAUAUGAUAUCUAGCAGCUGACAUAACAAGGCUUAUAGUGCUUAAUAAUGUUUGCAACAUAUAAUCUAUUAUUCAGCGACCUCAAUCACUGUGCAUAAAUGAAGCAUGCUGCCUCUCACUUCCCCUCAAAAAAAUGUCCCAAAGGGAUACUCACUACUCAAGCCCCAUCUAUCUCACAAACAAGAGAUGAAUCACUAACUCUACUCCGAAAAGUCCUGGGUCCUGUCCACUCUCUCUUCCGGUGGAAUCAGAAGAAACAAAGAGUUUCCUCCCUGCCACUUUGGGAAGUGUUAAGCGUCUCAUGAAUAUUAUAGUUCACAGACUAAAAAGCAACUCAAGAAUGCCUCAGUCAGGUUUUCUUCUAUGUUCCAAAGAGCACCAAGGAAAUUCUGGGCACUUGAUAGUGUCCCUGAGAGUAAAACAUCAGUAUUCACCAAAUUACCCUCUUUGCUGCCAAAGAACGAUGGGGCUUUGAUAAUUUUCUCCUUUUAAAGCCAAAAAGAUAAGGCAUGACUUCAACAUUAGCAAAAUGUCAAGACCACUCCAAUGUGCACUUGUUCUACAUCAGCAUGUGGGCUGGUUAGCACAGCUCCAUGCCUUGGCCAGGGACUGCCCCUAACCCCAUUCAGCUGUUUAAAAAUGAUGGCUAAACAAAGCUAAAAUGAGAAAACUCGGCUCUGCCCUAUUCCUCCUCAAUUUGGAAAAAAACAAAAAGCCCCAAAUGUCUAUGUCUCUUCAUCAUAAUUCAAAGGAAUUACCACCCGGUAAACUCACUGAAUUUAUAAGCUAGGUCCCUUGUCUCAAUUAUCAAGCACUUAUUAAGCUCCCUAAGCUAGAAUAUACUCAGGAAAUGUGUUCAACAGUAACUAAACGAUCAUGUAGACUAUGUAAUUUCUAUGUUCAACAAAGAAGUGUCUUGAUAAUUAUAUUUUAAUAUACUCUCUCAGUCCUUAUGGAAGACAAAAAACACAUCACUAGUUUUUCCAUUCCAGGCAAUCUGUUAAAAGAAACCAACGUUACUUAUAAACAGAUUUCAAGCUAUCAGGAGAGUAAAUUAAAAAUAUACUUGUGUCUUUUAGAUACAUUUUUAAAACCAUUUGUCAGAUUCUUGUUCUGGCAAGAGUCUUAAGACUGGCCACGUAACUUCUUUUUCAUUAUUUAUUUAUUUAUUUAUUUUUUGAGACAAGAGUCUCUCUUGUUGCCCAGGCUGGAGUACAGUAGUGCGAUCUUGGCUCACUGCAACCUUCACCUCCCAGGUUUAAAUGAUUCUUCUGCCUCAGCCUCCAGAGUAGCUGAGGUGGGAGGAUCGCUUGAGCCCAGGAGUUUAAGGCUGCAGUGAGCUAUGAUCAUGCCACUACUUUCCAGCCUAGGCAACAAAGCAGGAUCCCGCACAGUCAAUCGAUAAAAAGUGCAUAUGGCUCUUUAGCAUCAUUAGUUACACACAACUUUAAGAAAAUGUCACGUUUUUAUGUUCCAUCUCUUUGAACAAAAAUUAAUCACCUACUAUUUUUCUUUCUUGAAAAAGCAUUAUUGGUCGAUAAAAAGACUAUUCCCAUAUUACCCGGCCUAACUGUCUUUUCCAGCAAAUGACUUAAGUUAUACAGAAUAUACUUACCCUAGCAAAUCUAACCAUAGUGCCCCCUAAUAAAAAUCCUAAAUAGCAGGCCAUAGCAGAAAGCACUUGUAGUCCCAGCCAUUCAGGAGACUGAGGCAAGAAGAUUGCUGGAGCUCAUGACCAAUCUGGGCAACACAGCCAGCUCCAUAUCUCUCUAUCUAUCUAUUUAUCUAUCUCACCUAUUUAUUAUUUAUUUCACAUAGGGUCUCACUCUGUCCCCCAGGCUAGGGUGUGGUGGUAUAACUGUGGCUCACAGCAGCCUCAAACUUCUGGCUUAAGCAAUCCUCCCACCUCAGCCCCCCAAUUAGCUGGGACCACAGGCACACACCACCACGCUCAGCUAAUUUUUAUAUUUUUGGUAGAGACAAGGUCUUGCUCUACUGACCAGGCUGGGCUCAAACUACUGGCAUCAUGCAAUCCUCCUCCCACCUAGGCCUCCCAAAGACUGCAUCUCAAUUUAGAAAACAAAAACAAACAAAACCAAAUAAAAACAAUGACAUGAGGUUUUCUAUGGGGGUGAGGGCUCACAUUAUUUCUGACAAGAUUUGGAGACAAAGAAAUUCCAGUAUCUUUAUCACAUACUUCCUGCCAUGGAAGAUCUCUGGGUCCAUUUCUAUAAAAAAGGAGUUGUGCACAAAGGUAUCAGGAAUUGGAGCAUGUGUGUGAGGGGGUGUGUGUGUGUGUGUGUAUGUGUUAAGUACCAGAGCUUUAGAAAGUCUACAAACCUCAGCUGGGCACAGUGGCUCACACCUAUAAUCCCAGCACUUUGGAAGGCUGAGGCGGGUGGAUCACGAGGUCAGGAGUUCGAGACCAGCCUGGCCAACAUGGCGAAACCCUGUCUCUACUAAAAAAAUACAAAAAAUUAGCUGGGCAUGGUGGCAUGUGCCUGUAAUCCCAGCUACUCGGAAGGCUGAGGCAGGAGAACUGCGUGAACCCGGGAGGCAGAGGUUGCAGUGAGCCAAGAUCGCGCCACUGCACUCCAGCCUGGGUGACAGAGCAAGACUCCGUCUCAAAAAAAAAAAAAAAAAGAAAAGAAAAGAAAUAAUGCAUUUUAUGUCUAUAUAUAUAGUUUUUAAGGACCAUUAUGACCAGCAGAGGUGGACAAAAGAAAUAGAAAUACAGAUUAUGAACAAAAGUUGAAGGCAUUUCUUUAACCUAAGAGGAGUGAAACACUGCACUUGCUCACACAUCCUUACCCUGGUCACAAGCUGCUGCUUUCAUACACCCUAUGCUCACCUGUGCCCUCUAUUUGUGCCUCAUACUCUCUGGAAGGCUGAGUAAGUAGCAAUUCCUCUUGAAGCUUUCCUGACCGAGGGUAAGAAUCUUUUGAGCUCAAACAUUUUGUAAUACCUCUAAGAUGCACUGAUU